rnacentral:rRNA from 1 species
UGCAUUAUCCAAAAAAGCGGAGGAAAAGAAACUAACAAGGAUUCCCCUAGUAACGGCGAGUGAAGCGGGAAGAGCUCAAAUUUGUAAUCUGGCCCUUUCAGGGUCCGAGUUGUAAUCUCGAGAAGUGUUUUCCGCGCCGGACCGCAUACAAGUCUGUUGGAAUACAGCGUCAUAGUGGUGAGAGCCCCGUAAUUGAUGUGGAUGCCCGGUGCUUUGUGAUACACUUUCGAAGAGUCGAGUUGUUUGGGAAUGCAGCUCAAAUUGGGUGGUAAAUUCCAUCUAAAGCUAAAUAUUGGCGAGAGACCGAUAGCGAACAAGUACCGUGAGGGAAAGAUGAAAAGCACUUUGGAAAGAGAGUUAACAGUACGUGAAAUUGUUGGAAGGGAAACGCUUGAAGUCAGACUUGCUAUUCGGAAUUCAGCCGCAAGGUGUACUUUUCGAUUUGCAGGCCAGCAUCAGUUUUUGGGGGUGGAAAAGGGUGGAGAGAAGGUAGCAACCUUGGUUGUGUUAUAGCUCUUUACUGGAUUCAUCUUUGGGGACUGAGGAUCGCAGUGCGCAAUUUACUUUGCAAACCUUUCGAGGUUUUCGUACUUAGGAUGCUGGUGGAAUGGCUUUAAACGACCCGUCUUGAAACACGGACAC